CCUACGGGAGGCAGCAGUGAGGCAUAUUGGUCAAUGGGCGUAAGCCUGAACCAGCCAAGUCGCGUGAGGGAUGAAGGUUCUAUGGAGCGUAACCCUCUUUUAUAAGGGAAUAAAGUGCGGGACGUGUCCCGUUUUGUAUGUACCUUAUGAAUAAGGAUCGGCUAACGCCGUGCCAGCAGCCGCGGUAAUACUGAGGAUCCGAGCGUUAUCCGGAUUUAUUGGGUUUAAAGGGUGCGUAGGCGGCCUUUUAAGUCAGCGGUGAAAGUCUGUGGCUCAACCAUAGAAUUGCCGUUGAAACUGGGAGGCUGGAGUGUGUUUGAGGCUGGCGGAAUGCGUGGUGUAGCGGUGAAAUGCUUAGAUAUCACGCAGAACCCCGAUUGCGAAGGCAGCCUGCCAAGCCAUGACUGACGCUGAUGCACGAAAGCGUGGGGAUCAAACAGGAUUAGAUACCCCAGUAGUC
rnacentral:rRNA from 1 species